CCUACGGGAGGCAGCAGUGAGGAAUAUUGGUCAAUGGCCGAGAGUCUGAACCAGCAAAGUAGCGUGAAGGAUGACUGCCCUAUGGGUUGUAAACUUCUUUUAUAUGGGAAUAAAAUGUUCCACGUGUGGGAUUUUGUAUGUCCCAUAUGAAUAAGGAUCGGCUAACUCCGUGCCAGCAGCCGCGGUAAUACGGAGGAUCCGAGCGUUAUCCGGAUUUAUUGGGUUUAAAGGGAGCGUAGGUGGCUUGUUAAGUCAGUUGUGAAAGUUUGCGGCUCAACCGUAAAAUUGCAGUUGAAACUGGCAGUCUUGAGUACAGUAGAGGUGGGCGGAAUUCGUGGUGUAGCGGUGAAAUGCUUAGAUAUCACGAAGAACUCCGAUUGCGAAGGCAGUUCACUGGACUGCAACUGACACUGAGGCUCGAAAGUGUGGGUAUCAAACAGGAUUAGAUACCCGUGUAGUC
rnacentral:rRNA from 1 species